GAAACUGCGAAUGGCUCAUUAAAUCAGUUAUGGUUUCUUUGAUGGUACCUUGCUACUUGGAUACCCGUAGUAAUUCUAGAGCUAAUACAUGCAGGACUGCCCGACUUCGGAAGGGCUGUAUUUAUUAGAUAAGAAACCAUCUCGGGUCCGCCCGGUUGUGUGCUGAGUCAUAAUAACUGCUCGAAUCGCACGGCUCUACGCCGGCGAUGGUUCAUUCAAAUUUCUGCCCUAUCAGCUUUCGAUGGUAGGAUAGAGGCCUACCAUGGCGUUAACGGGUAACGGAGAAUUAGGGUUCGAUUCCGGAGAGGGAGCCUGAGAAAUGGCUACCACAUCCAAGGAAGGCAGCAGGCGCGUAAAUUGCCCGAAUCCUGACACAGGGAGGUAGUGACAAGAAAUAACAAUACAGGGCUACUUCUAGUCUUGUAAUUGGAAUGAGUACAACUUACAUCUCUUCACGAGGAUCAAUUGGAGGGCAAGUCUGGUGCCAGCAGCCGCGGUAAUUCCAGCUCCAAUAGCGUAUAUUAAAGUUGUUGCAGUUAAAAAGCUCGUAGUCGGAUUUCGGGUCGGGCCGAGCGGUCUGCCGAUGGGUAUGCACUGUUUGGCGCGGCCUUCUUUCCGGAGACCGCGGCUACUCUUAACUGAGCGGGCGUGGGAGACGGAUCGUUUACUUUGAAAAAAUCAGAGUGUUUCAAGCAGGCAGCUCGCUCUUGCAUGGAUUAGCAUGGGAUAAUUGAAUAGGACUCUGGUGCUAUUUUGUUGGUUUCGAACACCGGAGUAAUGAUUAACAGGGACAGUCAGGGGCACUCGUAUUCCGUCGAGAGAGGUGAAAUUCUCAGACCAAUGGAAGACGAACCACUGCGAAAGCAUUUGCCAGGGAUGUUUUCACUGAUCAAGAACGAAAGUUAGGGGAUCGAAGACGAUCAGAUACCGUCGUA
rnacentral:rRNA from 1 species